GAAUGACUCUCGGCAACGGAUAUCUCGGCUCUCGCAUCGAUGAAGAACGCAGCGAAAUGCGAUACUUGGUGUGAAUUGCAGAAUCUCGUGAACCAUCGAGUCUUUGAACGCAAAUUGCGCCCGAAGCCUUUCGGCCGAGGGCACGUCUGCCUGGGCGUCGCGCAG
rnacentral:rRNA from 1 species